GCGGGCGUAGCUCAGUUGGUAGAGCACAACCUUGCCAAGGUUGGGGUCGCGGGUUCAAGUCCCGUCGCCCGCUCCA
rnacentral:tRNA from 3 species